GCGUGAGGGAUGACGGCCUUCGGGUUGUAAACUCUUUUGUCAGGGAAGAUGAUGACGGUACCUGGCGAAUAAGCCACGGCUAACUACGUGCCAGCAGCCGCGGUAAUACGUAGGUGGCAAGCGUUGUCCGGAUUUACUGGGCCGUAAAGAGCGCGUCAGGCGGUCGUUCAAGUCGCGUGUGAAAGCCCCCGGCUCAACUGGGGAGGGUCACGCGAUACUGAUCGACUCGAAGGCAAGGAGAGGGUAGUGGAAUUCCCGGUGUAGUGGUGAAAUGCGUAGAUAUCGGGAGGAACACCAGUGGCGAAAGGCGACUACCUGGACCUGUUCUUGACGCUGAGGCGCGAAAGCUAGGGGAGCAAACGGGAUUAGAUACCCCGGUAGUCCUAGCCGUAAACGAUGGACACUAGGUGUUGGUGCUAUCAACCCCGCCAGUGCCGAAGCUAACGCAUUAAGUGUCCCGCCUGGGGAGUACGGCCGCAAGGCUA
rnacentral:rRNA from 1 species